GGGGAGACUGAGCAAGUGGCGAGCCCAACUGACUGUAAAUCAGCCGUCUAAGACUGUGAUGGUUCGACUCCAUCUCUCCCCACCA
rnacentral:tRNA from 1 species